AUUGAACGCUGGCGGCAGGCCUAACACAUGCAAGUCGAACGAGUGGCGGACGGGUGAGUAAUGUCUGGGAAACUGCCUGAUGGAGGGGGAUAACUACUGGAAACGGUAGCUAAUACCGCAUACCAUCAGAUGUGCCCAGAUGGGAUUAGCUUGUUGGUGGGGUAACGGCUCACAAAGGCGACGAUCCCUAGCGGGUCUGAGAGGAUGACCGGCCACACGGGAACGGAGACACGGUCCAGACUCUUACGGGAGGCAGCAGUGGGGAAUAUUGCACAAUGGGCGAAAGCCUGAGGCAGCAAUGCCGCGUGUAUGAAGAGGGCCUUCGGGUUGUAAAGUCCGUUAAGCGGGGAGGCGUUACCGGAAGAAGAAGCACCGGCUAACUACGUGCCAGCAGCCGCGGUAAUUC
rnacentral:rRNA from 1 species